UACGUAGGGCGCAAGCGUUGUCCGGAAUUAUUGGGCGUAAAGAGCUCGUAGGCGGUCUGUCGCGUCUGCCGUGAAAACCCGAGGCUUAACCUCAGGCUGGCGGUGGAUACGGGCAGACUAGAGGUAGGUAGGGGAGAAUGGAAUUCCCGGUGUAGCGGUGAAAUGCGCAGAUAUCGGGAGGAACACCGGUGGCGAAGGCGGUUCUCUGGGCCUUACCUGACGCUGAGGAGCGAAAGCGUGGGGAGCGAACAGG
rnacentral:rRNA from 1 species